CCUACGGGUGGCAGCAGUGGGGGAUAUUGCACAAUGGGGGAAACCCUGAUGCAGCGACGCCGCGUGGGUGAAGAAGCGCCUCGGCGCGUAAAGCCCUGUCAGCAGGGAAGAAAAUGACGGUAUCUCAAGAAGAAGCCCCGGCUCAUUACGUGCCACCAGCCGCGGGAAAACGCAGGGGGCAAGCGUUAUCCGGAUUUACUGGGUGUAAAGGGGGCGCAGACGGCGAUGCAAGCCCGAAGUGAAAGCCCGGGGCCCAACCCCGGGACUGCACUUGGAACUGCGUGGCUAGAGUGCAGGAGGGGCAGGCGGAAUUCCUGGUGUAGCGGUGAAAUGCGUAGAUAUUAGGAGGAACACCAGUGGCGAAGGCGGCCUGCUGGACUGCAACUGACGUUGAGGCCCGAAAGCGUGGGGAGCAAACAGGAUUAGAUACCCGGGUAGUC
rnacentral:rRNA from 1 species